rnacentral:rRNA from 2 species
ACAUUCAAGUCGAACGGCNGCGCGGGGAGCUUGCUCCCUGGCGGCGAGUGGCGGACGGGUGAGUAACGCGUGGGAAUCUGCCCAGUAGCGGGGGACAACCCGAGGAAACUCGGGCUAAUACCGCAUACGCCCUACGGGGGAAAGCAGGGGAUCUUCGGACCUUGCACUACUGGAUGAGCCCGCGUCGGAUUAGCUUGUUGGUGAGGUAAUGGCUCACCAAGGCGACGAUCCGUAGCUGGUCUGAGAGGACGAUCAGCCACACUGGGACUGAGACACGGCCCAGACUCCUACGGGAGGCAGCAGUGGGGAAUAUUGGACAAUGGGCGCAAGCCUGAUCCAGCAAUGCCGCGUGUGUGAAGAAGGCCCUAGGGUUGUAAAGCACUUUCAGUUGGGAAGAAACGCAGAGUGUUAAUACCACUCUGUAAUGACGUUACCGACACAAGAAGCACCGGCUAACUCCGUGCCAGCAGCCCGCGGUAAUACGGAGGGUGCGAGCGUUAAUCGGAAUUACUGGGCGUAAA